GAUGAACGCUGGCGGCGUGCCUAAUACAUGCAAGUCGAGCGCAGAAGGUAGGUACUUGUACCAAUUGGAUGAGCAGCGGACGGGUGAGUAACGCGUGGGGAACCUGCCUAUGAGCGUGGGACAACUUCUGGAAACGAAUGCUAAUACCGCAUAAAAACUUUAAACACAAGUUUCAAGAUUGAAAGACGCAUUUGCAUCACCCUAAGAUGAUCCCGCGUUGUAUUAGGUAGGUGGUGAGGUGAAGGCCUACCAAGGCGGUGGUACGUGGGCGGCCUGGGGGGGGGGACGGGCGCAAUGGGACUUGGACACGGCCCAAGCUCCUACGGGGGGCAACAGUAGGGGAACUUCGGGAAUGGGCGGAAGUCUGACCGAGCAACGCCGGGUGGGGGGAGGAGGUUUUCGGGUCGUAAAACUCUGUUGAUAAGGAAAGACGUUGGUGGGAAUUAAAUACGCAUCAAGUGACGGUAACUACCCAGAAAGCGACGGCUAACUACGUG
rnacentral:rRNA from 1 species